AAAUGACACACAACAAGUACGGAUAACACACAACGCGAGAAGACGUACCAUUGGCUUUCGUACGCUUUUUAUCAUCUGCUGCAUAACAGGCCUAAAGGAAGAACAGGAUGGGGCUCAGCAUAGCAACAUGUCUACUGCUUUUGUCUGUCAUGCUUAGCAUUGAAACGGUGACCUCCGUGCCCGCCAACACAACCAACAGCACCAGUCCAACUGCUACCACUAAGCCAACCUCUCUCACCAGUGCCAUAACAGGAGGCUCCGGUUCUGCAUCAGGCUCUGCAACGGGCUCCGCAUCAGGUUCUUCAUCAGGCUCUGCGACAAGCACUGGUGGAAGUGGAUCCACUGGGGCACUGUCCAGCAGUUUCCCCUCCUCGGGUGGAAACUUUCUGCUCCUUUUCACAACGUCAAUCGUCUUCUCCAUGGCAAUGCUGAUGAAUUAGUGGACACAAUCCACCUAUCUUUCACUCCGACUCAGCGGCUGAUGCAGAAUGAAUCGCCUAUUGUAUGAAUUCAAUAACCGAGUAGUUUGGGUUUAUGGAAUUAUAUAUUUUUUCUUCUUUCUGAAUUAUAACACCAUAUGAUGUAUACACGGGCUUCUGUUUAGCUGUAAUAGCUGUUAUGUUAUUGAAAUAUAAUUUGUACUUACAUGAUCUUUGCACUGUUUACCAAACAAAAUAACUUAAGAGCACUGUAAUUUUUGAUCAAUAUAUAUUUCAAAACAAGAUUAACAAUCCUUCCUUUUUGCUUAAGAUCCAUGAAGGCUGUAAAGAACCAAAGGAACUUUCUAUGCAUUGCUAGUCAACUGGAACAAAAUGAACGGGUCUACAGCACAUCUAGUAGACUCUAAUGUAUAUCGAUGUAGAUUGCUGUAAAGUUUGUGUAGAUUAAAUACUAUAUGUACAAUUAUCUCAAACAAAAUCUGUUUGUUUAUUUCAGAAGGACUUAUCACUUCUAUACACUAAACUUCAGAUUAAAGAUGUAGGUACUGUACAUGGACCAAAAUCUGUCUCAAUCAACACUGAGUAAAAGGGGCUGAUGCAAGAUAAAAAAAAAUAAGAACUUGUUCUCUCAGUCUUUCAAGUAAUAGGUUCUAAAGCACCAGAAGGGGGAGGAAGAGAUCUAGGAAAACUUUUAAACUGCUGAUAAGCAAGUGUGUCAUCUGUCUAGCAUCUGUCUAGCACUUUAUUAUUUUGAUUUGCCUAAAGUACCUUAUUUUCUAGAGAUAAUAUAAAAUAUUGUUAAAAAUAUUUAAAUACCACUGAAUAACCUGUAAACGGUCUGUGACAGAGGCUGUACAAAAACUUAAAAGUUAAUUUAAACAAUCAUCAACGUUUUCUUAAACCAGAAAUGUAAUCUGUGAUUAAGUUGUGCACCCAUUCACCAAAACCUUCUGUUCCACUACAUAAUGAAGUUUUUAAUUAAAAGCUAAGGUUUUGAUCACGA